rnacentral:rRNA from 1 species
GACGAACGCUGGCGGCGUGCUUAACACAUGCAAGUCGAACGGAAAGGCCCUGCUUUUGUGGGGUGCUCGAGUGGCGAACGGGUGAGUAACACGUGAGUAACCUGCCCUUGACUUUGGGAUAACUUCAGGAAACUGGGGCUAAUACCGGAUAGGAGCUCCUGCUGCAUGGUGGGGGUUGGAAAGUUUCGGCGGUUGGGGAUGGACUCGCGGCUUAUCAGCUUGUUGGUGGGGUAGUGGCUUACCAAGGCUUUGACGGGUAGCCGGCCUGAGAGGGUGACCGGCCACAUUGGGACUGGGAUACGGCCCAGACUCCUACGGGAGGCAGCAGUGGGGAAUAUUGCACAAUGGGCGGAAGCCUGAGGCAGCAACGCCGCGUGCGGGAUGACGGCCUUCGGGUUGUAAACCGCUUUCGCCUGUGACGAAGCGUGAGUGACGGUAAUGGGUAAAGAAGCACCGGCUAACUACGUG